CGUUAUUUAUUACUGGCUACGCGGUAUGUAAGUUAACCCAACCAUUUUAUUAGUAAAUUUAUAAAAUUAACUAGAUUCCUAGUAAUGGUUACAGUAAAGUCAUGUUAAGCAAUUCUAUAUGCAAACUUAGUUAUAACGCACAAAUUACGUAGUAAAACUUAUUAAAAUAUCUAGUAACAGUAACUAAAUCCUUAUAGUGAGUCCAUGCAAUCAUGCAAAUUUUAUAUUUCCCGCGCAGUCAUUGUUGUCAAUUGUCAUUUCAGAAUUCCGCUUCCACCUGUCCGUCCGCCAUGAUUGAUAGAGGAUCAAAACGUGGUCGUGUCGGCGUUUUUGUUCCUUCUUUUCCUUUUAUUUCUCUUCUCGAGGAGUGUGCUGGUGUCGCAAUUGUUGUGCGUUAUGAAAUGUGAUCUUAAUUUUAUACUUUAAUUUGUAAUGGAUGAUAAUAAAUUUGAAAACCAUUUAAAGGCCUGCAGGCUGCAAGAUUUUUUUCAAGCUUUUCGAGAAUUUCAAUGAAUUAGAGCAAUGCAUCAAACAAAGGCAAGAAAAACUGAAACGCUAUGGAACAAUAUUACAGCCCCUUGCAGUAGUUGUAUAAGGUGCAGGGAAGGAAGAUUUUAACAUUGUGGUUGAGGUACAAAGUUGAUACAGCUCUAAGGACUCUUGAGUUAUUAUUUUAGCUUUUUAAUUCUAUGGAUAUUGACUAUCCUGCGGAAAGUAAACAUAUCGGGAUUUUUAUUCAACAGAUACUAUUUAAUUUAAAAUCCGAAAGGAAAAACCCAUCUGAGGCUGCUCUAGGAAACAUAAAAUAUUACUUACAACUAUAAUGGUUGGUACAAACCUAAAGAAGAAUAAACUUUUUGGAUUCAUUUAGUAAAAGUUUUUUUUUUCUAGACUAAUUUAACAAAUAAUAAUGCCAGUUUGCUUCAUCUGCAGCUCAUCUUUUUCAAAACUUAGUGCCCUUUUUACCUAUUUAUCUAUUGUUUAUAUUAAACAAAAAAAUUAUAGAUAUUGUAAAGAAAAUAGUUGCAUUAGACAUUUCACAAGCCAAAAAAGUUUUAAGAAACAUUUAAAGAUUCAUGAACCUCAACAUUUCAGUUCAAGUGUGGGCAGUUUAAGUAACCAAAAAAAAUAGGUUUAAAGAUCAGUUAAUUGGGAAUUAUCAUAAUAUUGACAUACUGAUUUUUUAAAAGAAUUUAUAUUAUCAUUAAUAAACAAUAAUGUUUCAUUCAUAACAAAGUUGUAUGCACAAAAUUCUUCUUGUCGUAGAGACAUUCAAAAUGUUGUCAGUUAUGUUACAGUAUUACUUAAUAACCCUAUGAACAUCUUUAAAAAAUUUGUAUUCACAGAACUUUGUGAGAAAUAUGGCAUAAGUGCAAAAAUUGUUUAGCAAAGUAAUAUCAGUUAAACUUGUAACUAUUCAAAGUUAUUUCACCAGAAUGAUAUUAUUGCAGUUGAGGAAUUGAGAGGGAUCACAUUUAAGAAAAUUAAAUUUAUUUUGAUUAUUGAGCUGAAGGAAAUAUAUUUUGUUUGUAUUAAUAUAGUUCUUUCAGAAUUUCAUGAGCAUUUGUUUUCUUUUGAAAUUAAAUUUAGUGAGGAAGAGAGUUGUUGUUGUUUGAUCAGUUAGCCAUUUUUGAUGCUUUAUGUGCAAUUAGCAGGAAUAAUAAGACUUAUUUGACGUACUGAUCAGCAAAAACAAUUUAUUCUUCUUUAUAUUUUGUAAUAAUUUGUAUUUUGUUGUUAUAUUUGUUUUAAAUGGGUUUCUUAAAUAAUACAUGAAAUUAAAGAAUUCCAACUUAAUAAGUAUAGUAUAUAUGCUAGUAUUUUCUUACCAUAUCAGGUAUAUGUAAAAGAAUAUUUGGACUAUUAUUUAUUUCAUGUUUUAACAGUGUAUACAUUAAUUAGUAAAAAACAAUUAAUUAAUUUGUUACUGAAUAAUUAAAAAUAAAAAGUUAUUAUUUUAAA
rnacentral:lncRNA from 1 species